AUUGAACGCUGGCGGCAUGCCUAACACAUGCAAGUCGAACGGCAGCACGAUCUAACCUUGCAGUUAGAGGGGGCGUGGCGCAGGGGGGUGAGGUAUACAGCGACAUGUACUGUUUCGGGGGAGAUAACGUAGAGAAACUUACUCUAAUAGCGCAUAAGACGUACGGGUGAGGGCGGGAGAGCAUCGGACCUUGCGCUAGUGACUGCGCAGAUGUCGGAUUAGCUAGUUGGGGGGGUAAAGGCCCACCAAGGCGACGAUCAGUAGCUGGUCUGAGAGGACGAUCAGCCACACUGGAACUGAGACACGGCCCAGACUCCUACGGGAGGCAGCAGUGGGGAAUAUUGGACAAUGGGCGAAAGCCUGAUCCAGCCAUACCGCGUGGGUGAAGAAGGCCUUCGGGUUGUAAAGCCCUUUUGUUGGGAAAGAAAAGGAGCAGGUUAAUACCUCGCGGUGCUGACGGUACCGAAAGAAUAAGCACCGGCUAACUACGUG
rnacentral:rRNA from 1 species